CCUACGGAGUGCAGCAGUGGGGAAUAUUGGUCAAUGGGCGGAAGCCUGGACCAGCCAAGUAGCGUGCAAGAUGACGGCCCUACGGGUUGUAAACUGCUUUUAUACGGGAAUAACGCGCCUUACGUGUAGGGCUUUGCAUGUACCGUAUGAAUAAGGACCGGCUAAUUCCGUGCCAGCAGCCGCGGUAAUACGGAAGGUCCGGGCGUUAUCCGGAUUUAUUGGGUUUAAGGGGAGCGUAGGCCGCAUGUCAAGCGUGCUGUGAAAUGUCCGGGCUCAACCCGGGCCUUGCAGCGCGAACUGGCGUGCUUGAGUCCGCGGAAAGCAGGCGGAAUUCGUCGUGUAGCGGUGAAAUGCUUAGAUAUGACGAAGAACCCCGAUUGCGAAGGCAGCUUGCUGCAGCGGAACUGACGCUGAUGCUCGAAAGCGCGGGUAUCGAACAGGAUUAGAUACCCCAGUAGUC
rnacentral:rRNA from 1 species